CUUAGACCUGCAGACACUUAUCACUGUUAGAUGGGCCCUUCCAAGAGAAUUUGUAAACAGAGAUCUUGCUCUCAGGAAAUUUAACAUUUAAUUCAUAGAACCCAAAAUCACAGCCUACAGAGAAAUGCACUUUCUUAAGGUAAUGUGUUCUGUUUGCCAGCACUUUGACACAAAGAGAAGUGCUGGCUUCAUAGAAAUAAUUAAUCCUCUUUUUCUGCCACUGGGAUAAACAAAGGAAAGAAAGAAAUAGAUGUUAUAAAAAAAUAAAAUCCAAGGCAGAUCAAAGGGGAUGUGGCGGAGGAUUCAGCAACUGCCACCCUUAAGCAAAGAACAGUAAUGAAGAAAUGAGUUUUGGCAGCCUAGCCAAUGGGAUAUGAAAGAAAUUAAUCCCGAAGGGAUGUAAUGACCUGAAAAAAAUGAUGAGCAAAGUCCAGAAGGAUUAGAAGAAAGAAAAAGGCAGCAGACAGAAUGGACUUCAGUGCAACAGGGAAUUAAACUGAAAUCAUUAAAUUCUUUCUGCUUAGCACUUUAGAGAAAAUUUCUAUCAGCCUGCCUAAGGUUGGAAAUGUUUGAGGAGGCAUUUAUCAUGAAAGCCGUGGCCUUUGCUCCUAAAGCUUCGUCUCACAAGUACAAUAACAAAAACUGCUAAUUAAAAGAGGGAAAACAACCAGGAGUCAAACACAAAGGGGCAUCCCUGCCUCAUCAGCACAGAACAAUCGACCGGCUCCCUUCACUGCCCAUGCGAGGCUCCAUGUGAGGAAGCCUGCUCUGCCCUUCCAGGAAGCAGGUGUGGGAAUAGAAGGAGGCACCACUCAUCUUCUGCAGAAAAGCAAAAUGAAGACAUCAUCAGAGAGCAGCACUCAUUGGAAGUAGCUCCUCGGGUUCCCUUCUAAUGUCAGGUACAGCUCAGGACUAAUUUGAAGACAAGAAACGAUUCCAGUGCCUUGUAAAUUGCGAUCCACAUUGCAACUCCUAGCAGCCACAGUUCAGCAC
rnacentral:lncRNA from 10 species